GAUGAACGCUGGCGGCGUGCCUAAUACAUGCAAGUCGAACGAAACUUCUUUAUCACCGAGUGCUUGCACUCACCGAUAAAGGGUUGAGUGGCGAACGGGUGAGUAACACGUGGGCAACCUGCCCCAAAGAGGGGGAUAACACUUGGCAACAGGUUCUAAUACCGCAUAACCAUAGUUACCGCAUGGUAACUAUGUAAAAGGUGGCUAUACUACCGCUUUUGGAUGGGCUCGCGGCGCAUUAGCUAGUUGGUAGGGUAAAGGCUUACCAAGGCAAUGAUGCGUAGCCGAAUUGAGAGGUUGAUCGGCCACAUUGGGACUGAGACACGGCCCAAACUCCUACGGGAGGCAGCAGUAGGGAAUCUUCCACAAUGGGCGAAAGCCUGAUGGAGCAACGCCGCGUGGGUGAAGAAGGUCUUCGGAUCGUAAAACCCUGUUGUUAGAGAAGAAAGUGCGUGAGAGUAACUGUUCACGUUUCGACGGUAUCUAACCAGAAAGCCACGGCUAACUACGUG
rnacentral:rRNA from 1 species